GAGGAAGGAGGGGGGUGUGCUUAACACAUGCGAGUCGAACGGAAAGGCCUCUUUCGGGUGGUACUCGAGUGGCGAACGGGUGAGUAACACGUGAGUAACCUGCCCUUGACUUUGGGAUAACUUCAGGAAACUGGGGCUAAUACCGGAUAGGAGCUCCUGCUGCAUGGUGGGGGUUGGAAAGUUUCGGCGGUUGGGGAUGGGCUGGCGGCUUAUCAGCUUGUUGGUGGGGUAGUGGCUUACCAAGGCUUUGACGGGUAGCCGGCCUGAGAGGGUGACCGGCGACAUAGGGACUGAGAGACGGCCCAGGCGCCUACGGGAGGCAGCAGUGGGGAAGAUUGCACAAUGGGUGGAGGCCUGAUGCAGCAACGCCGUGUGCGGGAUGACGGCCUUCGUGUUGAAGACCGCUUUCGCUCAUGACGAAGCUUUGUGUGACGGUAGUGAGUAAAGAAGCACCGGCUAACUACGUG
rnacentral:rRNA from 1 species